CGGAUACUCGCCGAAAGGCGUGCUAAUACCGGAUAAUGACGAAAGUCCAAAGAUUUAUCGCCCGAGGAUGAGCCCGCGUAGGAUUAGCUAGUUGGUGUGGUAAAGGCGCACCAAGGCGACGAUCCUUAGCUGGUCUGAGAGGAUGAUCAGCCACACUGGGACUGAGACACGGUUCAGACUCCUACGGGAGGCAGCAGUGGGGAAUAUUGGACAAUGGGCGAAAGCCUGAUCCAGCAAUGCCGCGUGAGUGAUGAAGGCCUUAGGGUUGUAAAGCUCUUUUACCCGGGAUGAUAAUGACCGUACCGGGAGAAUAAGCCCCGGCUAACUCCGUGCCAGCAGCCGCGGUUAUACGA
rnacentral:rRNA from 1 species